AUAAAGCUCUGAUAUAAGAUUCUGAUUAUGGUGAGUUAGCAGCAGAGUUAAGACUAGAACAUGAGUACUAAGAUUCCCAAUUUAGUGCUGUUUUGGCUGUGACUUAGGUGUCCAAGCCGAAGACUCAUGUAAGGAUGCUAUUUGAAUUAUACCUUUAGAUUUUCCUGCAGCCCUCUUAGUACAGAAGCAAGAUAUUCCUCCACUAACCAUCUCAAGUAUAAAAAAGUAUUAUUUCCUACCUAUAUGUUCAUAUAUAUCUUGGUUUUUAUUCUAAAGAAUUUUUCUUCACCCUAAUUUGCCUCUCACACAAUUGAUAUUUUAUAGGAAAUUGAAAAUCUUUCAUAUUCAUAUAUUAUAACUUUCAGUGAACACAAUGAACUAUUCCUUUGUAUCAAUACCCUUUGGAGAACAUUAGUCAUCCUGUCCUUAAACUUUCAGUAGUUUCAUUUUUCUUAGGCUUAAUCUCUAUAACUUGCAGAAUUCCAAGAGUUUAAGAAGAGCACCACAAGACAGUAAUCUCCUUAAACACAGGAACUUCUCUUUAAUUUCUGACAUGCUGGAAUAAUAUCUGGAACAGAGUUUUAUUACCCACCCUCCACAGUCCAUCACCAGCAAGUGUCCUUCCACCAGGUGUUGCUUGUGCCAAUAGAAUGAAACUGAGUUUGGUUCAGAAGCAAAGGAAAUCUUUACUCUUGGGUGAGUCAAUGGAAAGGCUGGAGCUCUUACUUUAGAGCACAUGUGUUCCUCAACAGGCCGUGGGUGGGGCUACUUUAUAGGGAUCUUGUCAGAGUGGGAGGGGCCAGAGUUCUUAAAGCUGGUGCAGCUGUGCUGCUUAAGCUCCAGAUCUCAGUGCCAGGAGUCUCUGUACAAGGCCCACCACCACCAUCUUGAACUGAGUUUUGUGAGCAGCGUUUCUGCACAUGGUCUGGAGCUGGGGUGUCAGGAGCUGCUGUUUCCUGCAAGGAACUCUCGUCUGAAGGGCCAGGUAUAAGGCUCUGUCUGCAGCCACCUAUGAGCAAGUGAAACUAGACGAAGCACAAAGGAAAAAAAGCCCUGGUUUUUAUUUAUGAGAGAACUACAAAAUGACUAGCCCAAGUACACACUGUUAACUAAUGAUGGAACUGGGACUUCAGAAAAAGGUGUUCUUCAGAGAAUCUGCUCUCCAACCCAGGGAAAGUGCAGGAGUAUUUGAGUUAAACUCUCAUCCACUUGACAGCUUCCCAGCUUCCAGUCAAAUCCACUAUGCAGAGACUGGCUCUGCCUUGGAUCUCUGCUACAUGAUUGUUUUGAAUAUAGGGGGAAUCGAGUAGAGGAAGUCAAAGAAGAUGCUAAAUCCUCUCAUUAUUUUUUGAUUGAUAUGUGACUCCAGAAAGUGUGAAAACAUAAUGUAGUAUAAAAAAAAAAAAACAAAAACCCAGCUCUGUCCUAUACAUAAAAAAAAUACCUGAACACUUAGUUAUCUCAAAAAGAGUAGAAGGAUCAUAGUUUCAUGGGAAAAUAAGUUCUGCUAAGCUAAUUUAAUCAUCUCUGUGAUAUAGUGCUGGGUAUGACAGAUAAAGAAAAGCUUUAUACAUAGUAAGUACAAGGAUACAUGGUUAAAUCAUGAUUCUCUUUCUUAAUUUACCAUUGAAAAAACACAAAACUAGUUAGAUAAUCAAUGAAAGGAUCAAUAAAAAUAGUGCAAAUGUCAUUAAGGAAAACAAAUUCAAAUAAUGAAGAAUAUUAAAUCUCCAAACUGACUAUAAUAUACUAUUAGUGUAUACUUUGAUUAAAGUUGGUGUUGUUGACAGAGUAGGAGUAAAACAAAGUUAUAUUCACAUUUACACUUUUCUUAAGUUCACUGUAUGGCUUUUCAAUUUUUCACACUUCUGUACUUUCUGCUUACUUAAAUGUUGAAUAAAUGCUAAAUGGAAAUUUCCUUUAUCUUGUAAAUCUUCCUUGAAUAAUGGGAAUAAUUGUAAAAAGCUAAAGACAGAUUUUCUCAGAUAGAACCCUUAAGAACUUUUAGCAUACACAUAAACAAUUUUAGAUUAAUUAUAGGUUUCAGCAUUUAAAAAUAUUUAAAAUUGGUAAUUAUAUCAACUCCAUGACAAAGUUGAUGACCUUUCACCAAUAUAUACCUAUUAAGUUUGAUAAUAGUUAGCUUGAGCCAUAUAUUAGAUUCCUCAUCCAGUCAGUUUUUAUCCUGUAUUUUUAACUAAAAUAGAAAAUAUUAUCUCAUAAUACAGGUAUUAUGAGGCUGUAAUUUUUGGAUCUUUCUGGAUUUUUAAUUCAAAUUUCCUUCUAACUCAAUGAAGCUUUUCCAUUCAUAAGUCAGACCCAUUAAUUCCUGGUCCAUUCUUUGUUUACUUUCAACUCUGGAACAUCUGUUAUGUUGUUGUACUUGGAUGUUGUUUAUAAAUGUGCUCAAAAUUUUUUUUAUUCUGUUUCUUUCUCCAAUCAGUGAAAAAAAAUCAAAUGCUAAGAAAGUGAAACACUCACUGAUCUCAUAGAAGAUCUCCUGUUUUUUUUUUGUCUUCAAUAAAAUUUGUUAUAUUUUGGUGCUAGAUUGAAGGCUUCAGACUGUAUCUGAUAUUGAAUGUAUCACUGAGAAGUGCCAUUAAAGCAAGCCAUAUAUUACGUAAUCAUUUAAAUGGUUUUUCCAGGCGUUAUUGCAAUCGUGAAGUGUUUUUCAUCUCAUAUAUUAUUUUGAAUUUGGUUAAUACAUUUUCCCUUGACUACAAGUAUACUUCAACGUGGAAAGUUAGUUGUAUAUUCAUUGCCAAUUCGUCAUACGACAUGCAGAAAGACAUAUAUGCUCAGUAAAUAAAAUGUGAUUGCAAUGAAAAUAUUCAUAGGUUUUUUUUUUUUUUCUUUGCAAAUGUGACAAUGUGCUGGAUUGGCUUUCAGGUAGCAUUUUUUUUUAAUUGUUGAGUGGGGCUUUUCCUUGUUAGAUGCAAAAAUGCUGCUCUGCAGAACAUAUUUUAUGAGUGCACAUUAUAAAGUAAUGAUAUUAUUUCCUGGAGCACAAUUUUUCAGUGAUAAACUAUACAAAAAGACAUUAGGCAGUUCUCCCAUAUACUGCACAUAGAAAAAACUUAUUCCCAUGUUUUGCACAUGCACAUAUUACCAAAAUGAAAUAUGCACAUAGUAUUAUAAUAAUUACUUUUCCACGUUAUGUGCCAUGGAUAUGUAUGUACAAAUUUUAGGUUGCACCUUAAGUUGUAAGCACUCUCUUCUCUGAGCAAAGGGGAGUGUUAGAGCACACUGGUGGACUUAGAGAUGGAAUGGUGUGUUGAGAUGUGUGGAGGCAUCCUUAUGACUGAGAAAUAAACUUUGAUCUUAUUAAUCAAUUUUAUUUAUGUCUCUUACAAUAGCUUAGCUGUCCUCUAAUUAAUAUAAACAACAAAUAUGACUGAAAAAAUUUAUAUCAAUAGCAAUGUAUCCAAGUGGAUAUAUAUCCAUAAUCAUUAAGAGAAAACUGAAUAUA